UAGAUUUUUUUCAUACAAUAUAUUGUGGUUACAGUUUACUGUCCCCCAAAUCCUCCUAGAUCCUCUCCACUUCUCUUCCCAUAUCCACAUCUCGUCUCCCCUUAGAAAACAAACAGGCAUUCUGAACCCACCUUCAGGAUUCUCUUCUGUGUGCUUUGCCUUCACUAGCCACGAGGGGGCGCCUGUGGAACCACUCAGGUUUUCUAUGCACUUGUAAACUCAGGACUUGCCAGGCAAGCAACCGCUCAGGCCCUUCUCAGAACCAUGACAAGAGUCCCCUCCACCUCAGUGCUUUCAUGAUACCUAAAGCCCCCCUCAUUCUCCUCCCUUACCUCAACCCGUGGUCCUCUAACUCCUAUAUUCUUCUUCUUUUCCUGAGCAGAGUUGGGAUCAUUGAAAAGCCUUUGUUGUUCUGGCCACAUGUGGCUCACAUUUGCAAGCAUGGCUCCUUACUUCAGGGUUACAGAAUGUUCCUGAACAUCUACUUUCAUUCCAUCCAUCUAUUCCGAAAACAUCGGCUCCACAUCUGGAGAGAUGGAGGAGCGGGGAAGGGGAUUAAGGACACGUCAGACAACCUUGCUUUCAGAGGAAAGCAUGGUGUGGCAGAAGAUGACAUGGCUAUAACCAGCUGGGCCUGGCAUUGCAGGCUGGCCAUCCCAGUUACUUGGAAGGCUGAGACAGGAGGAUUGAAGAUUCCAGACCUGCCUGUCUCAGAAUUAAAAAUGGAAGACUAUGAUGAGGAGAUGGGGUCCUGGCCUCGUCACCCAGCUGGGUGAGGUGGUAUCUUCCUCCUGAGGCUAUGCAAGGUCUGCGUUUGGCUCAGAGCUCAGAACUCAGCUGAUCGUGGCCACAGACACAAGAAGGCUAGAAAGGUGCCUGGUUCUAGGGCCAGAUAAGAGGGCUUCAUCAGCCCCUUCUGCUAUGGGCCUUCCAGAAUGAUUCAACUGGGGAGCAUCUCCAUUACAAAGCUGAUAAGGCCGUGGUACUAUCUCACUUCUGACUUCUGGAUCAACCCAAGACAGUGUCAUGAGAGUUCAUGUUAUGCCAGUUUCAGCGAGGACUGCUGUGCUACCCACUGUCUGGCUCCCCCUUCGGACUGGAGUGUGAUGGAACUGCAUAAAGCUGCUCUUCUGCCCAAAGCUGCUCUUCUGCCCAAAGCUUCCUGGCCCUUCCAGGACACGGAGCACCUGGAUGGCCUCCUUCCCUGAAGGUGAUGGGGAGAAGGGAAGAAGCUGGAUUUGUCCCCGAGGGUGGCAGACAGGACAGUAUUCAUCUGGCAAAUCUCCUGGCAGGUAGGUCUGGUGAGGGUCAUCACCUUGGAAGGGAUAGGUCCCCUCCACUGGGCACUAAACAAGCAACAUGUCCUCUGUACUUCACAGUCUAGGUAGCCCUUUCCAUGCUCAUUGAGUCAUUCAAUGAACCGAGAGCAAGCACUGGACUGGUCAUUAGGGCCGUGGAUUUGAUCCUGCUCUGGGUUCCCCUCAAAAUUUCUCUCUGUGGAUGUGGGGAGAUGGCUCAGUAGGCCAAAUGCUUGCUGCAUGAGCUUAGGGCCUUGAACUUGGAUCCUCCACACCCACGUCAAAAAGCUAGUUUUGGAGGCAAGUACAGUUAAUAGUCCAGCACACUGCAUACCCCUGGAGUUUUGUGUCUUCUCGACCUACCAUGGACAGCAACGGUGACAGCUAGACUGCCCAACAAGCAUAAUCCACACCCUCCCACGUCUCCCCUUCCUGUGCCUCAGUUUCCCCUGGUGCAUCCAAAAGGUCCUCCCUCUAUCAUAGACAUGGGUAGAUCUUAUGACUCCAAAUCUGCUGUGGACUCAGUAAACUGAAGAGCUCAGUCUCCAGCUCCAUAGGCAGGUCCAGAGCCCUAAACCAGGACAGAUGCAGUUAGCCUGGCUGACUGGGCACGAGGCACUGGACCAAGGUUGAGAUAUAUACACAACUCAUCCAGCACACACACUAUUGCAACCUGAGCUCUUGCUGUCCAUCACUGGUGACGUCUGCAUCCUGGAGCCAAGUCCCAGCUGUCACUAAGGUUUCAUCUCUCCCCAUGGAGAGCUCCACAUUGUAAAUCAGGUGCCUGUGGAUGAGAGAAGGGGAGGAGGGCUGUGGAAUGCUGAAAUCCCACAUCAGCACUCAGAUGGCAGGGCCACUGGCCUUUUACACAGCGAUAGGGCUCCAGGUCCUGUCCAUGUUCCCAGGCCCUCCACGCACUGCAUGAGGAUGAGUUGAACACAAAAGGGAUCCUGGCUCUGCCUCAGGUAGUUUCAACUCAACUUCUAACCCUAUCUGGCUUCAUAUAUUGCUCCAUGCAAGGAGGAGGGUCUCUGGAUGAGCACUCAAGGGAACCCUGACUUUGGCUCUCUCGGGCUCUCACAUGGGAGACCUAGGUUCAAAACCGGAGGGUGUGAGGAGGCUAAGCUGGGGUCUCAUUCCUGGUCUCUUUCUCUUUUGGAUGGCAGUCUGCAUCCUAACACCUGGACAUCUGGUGCUAUGGCAGUCCUUUUAUAAUGCCAUAAAUGCUCCAGGAUGUCAGUAUUAGAAAGCACCACCGUCUGGUAUCCCAAGAAAGAGUAAGCCACUGCCACAAAAGAUGGGACAAGCUAGACCCAUAAGCUGUGACGUGAUGCUUCCUGCUGCUUUCAAUCCUUUUCAGGAUGUGCAUGUGUGUUGGGGGAGGGGUUGCAUGUAUGUAGUUUCACAUGUGUGUUGGUGUGUGUGUAUCUAUGUGCACCUGAAUGUGGAGUCAGGGCUUGAUGUUAGGAACUAUCCUCAAUCAUUCUCCCACCUUAUUCUUUGAGGCAAGGUCUCUCAAGCAAGCCAGAGCUCACUGAUAUGGAUAGUCAUGCUGGCCAGUUCAUCUUGUCUCUGCCUUGCGAGGCCAGGAUUACACAUAGUUCGCCAUGUCUACCCAGAAUUUACAGGGGGUCUGGUGGAUCCGAACUCUGGUCCUUGCACUUUGCUGAGCAAGCACUUAACUGCUGAGGUGUUUCUUCAGCAACCCCAAGACUUUCCCUUCUUAUUCUGUGUUUAUCAAGAGAGAUCCUUUGGAUACAUUUAGAUUUAGUUUAGUUUUUUUUUAAUUGCAUGCU